rnacentral:tRNA from 1 species
UCUAAUGUGGCAGAUUAGUGCAAUGGAUUUAAACCCCAUAUAUAAAAGUCUUCUUUUCUUUAGAA